GUUGACCUCGGAUCAGGUAGGGAUACCCGCUGAACUUAAGCAUAUCAAUAAGCGGAGGAAAAGAAACCAACAGGGAUUGCUCUAGUAACGGCGAGUGAAGCAGCAAUAGCUCAAAUUUGAAAUCUGGCGUCUUCGACGUCCGAGUUGUAAUUUGUAGAGGAUGCUUCUGAGUAACCACCGACCUAAGUUCCUUGGAACAGGACGUCAUAGAGGGUGAGAAUCCCGUAUGCGGUCGGAAAGGUGCUCUAUACGUAGCUCCUUCGACGAGUCGAGUUGUUUGGGAAUGCAGCUCUAAAUGGGAGGUAAAUUUCUUCUAAAGCUAAAUAUUGGCCAGAGACCGAUAGCGCACAAGUAGAGUGAUCGAAAGAUGAAAAGCACUUUGGAAAGAGAGUUAAAAAGCACGUGAAAUUGUUAAAAGGGAAGGGAUUGCAACCAGACUUGCUCGCGGUGUUCCGCCGGUCUUCUGACCGGUCUACUCGCCGCGUUGCAGGCCAGCAUCGUCUGGUGCCGCUGGAUAAGACUUGAGGAAUGUGGCUCCCCCGGGAGUGUUAUAGCCUCUUGUGAUGCAGCGAGCGCCGGGCGAGGUCCGCGCUUCGGCUAGGAUGCUGGCGUAAUGGUCGUAAUCCGCCCGUCUUGAAACACGGACCAAGGAGUCUAACAUCUAUGCGAGUGUUCGGGUGUCAAACCCCUACGCGUAAUGAAAGUGAACGGAGGUGAGAACCGCAAGGUGCAUCAUCGACCGAUCCUGAUGUCUUCGGAUGGAUUUGAGUAAGAGCAUAGCUGUUGGGACCCGAAAGAUGGUGAACUAUGCCUGAAUAGGGUGAAGCCAGAGGAAACUCUGGUGGAGGCUCGCAGCGGUUCUGACGUGCAAAUCGAUCGUCAAAUUUGGGUAUAGGGGCGAAAGACUAAUCGAACCAUCUAGUAGCUGGUUCCUGCCGAAGU
rnacentral:rRNA from 1 species